GAUACAGCAGGAGUAGGAGCCGUUUAUUGCAGGACAGGAGCAGUAUUUAUACAUUCCACACAGCUUAUCUAAUUAGCAUAAACUAGAUACAUCAGUCAACCAAUCAGGAAUCUCCACACUUAAUGGCUUGCUUUUAUUACUUCUCAAACCACUCCCUCUGGCAUUUUGCCAGGUACCAUACAGACUUGUUUACAGACUCUAACAUUCCCCUGGCAAAAUUCCAGGUGUUAUUUUGACUUGUUUACAGACUCUAACAGUAGAGCACCACUGGCAUCCCCAGAACUACAAAACAACAACAAAAGAAAACACAUCAAUGGAAAAACUGUCCAUUCUUCACAUAUAACUAUGUUACUAUUUUUGAGUACUCCUCUGGUCCAACAGAAACUUUCAUCUACUUUUCCAUUAAUGGCCAUUAAGUUUGUUUUUCUUUAUGAAUGAAAUGAACACUAUUCUUAUUCUUCCUUUUGUAUCUGUUUCUUCUGGCAGUUUUCAACUUUCCUCAGCUGGACCUCUCUUUACAAUAAUCAAAUAUGAUAUUUUUACAUUCAUAUAUGUUUCUUUACAUUGUCAUUGCAACCAUAUCUAAGAAUUCCUUGUCAUAGCUAUAGACAGGUUUUAGAGCCUGAAAAUAUAUGCUAAAAUAUACCUGUAAAGACAGUAUAGAUUAUAAAUGCCCUGCAAUCAGAGAUUACUGGGAACACUAUAAAAGCAAAGUUGGAUUUACUGAUUAUUUGCAUUGCGGGAGAUUGCACACAAUAAGAAGCCCUGAGUCACCGUAGUAAAAGGGUUACUUUCUUAUUCCUUACAAAGGAGUUCUAGAAUUUGGGAUUGUGAUAGGAAAUUUGGGAGAGGGUUUAAGUAUGGGUUAGAUCUGGAUUAGAUGCUUUAAGAAAAUGGAAUGAUUCUACAAUUAUAUAGUGAAUUUUAUUAAGGAAGUGAGAACAAAGUGAAAUGAAAGUAUAAUUGGUGAAGAAGCAGCAUUCACUCACAUUUGCAAGGAAGUGGGGGUCUUUGGUCAUUGUUUUGGUUUGAAUAAUAUUCUUAUUUUGGUCUCUGCUCAACCAUGAAGUAAUUUUAUUUUGAUCUUGCUCAAUCAGAAUCACCAAGGUCUUUUCUGAUGCUGGUGUUGGGUAAGAUUGUUCAUGUUCAGUAAGGGAUCUUGACCUACCUUAGAGGAUCAGGACAGUUCCUGGUUACUAGUUGAUGAUUCUAUCUCAAAAUAUUGUUCAUUAUACAUCCAUAGUACUUGGCGUAAGAACUCUCAUUCCUUCUCCUUGGAUCUACAGUUGUGCUUUCUAUGCCAUUGAAAACAGAGUGUUCCUAAAAUCAAGAUCAAUUCACCAUUUAAACUCCAUGAGUUGACAUGACCCCAUCUUUGCAGUUUAUCAAAAUAUCAAUUAUGAAUUCAACUUCCUAUAUUUCCUCUUUUUGUUUUCAUGGAAACUACUGAUACUCUACUAAUUUAUUGAAUUAAAAAAAAUUGAAUCUCGCACAUUAUAAAGGCUCUUUUACAUAAAGCAAACUUCUAAUUAAUAGAUUUGGAGAUCAGUCUGAAUCCGACAUACUAUUGACGCAACCCAUUUCAUACCACUACCUUGACAUGGAUUUGAUACCCUCCCUCAAAAUAAUCUUGUAAAAAAUUGCUUUCAAGCCCCUUUGAAAUUGCAAUAGUUCAGCAAAACCACAAAUAAACAAUUGCCUGUUGAGCUAUUAUUUCAAAUAUAGACUGAAAAGCCAACAGGCAUUUUUGUGUGCAUUUUAAAAUAAACAAACCAUAAGUUGAAAUAUCAAAUCUACACAGCACUGUUCCCUCACAGAAGGCAAGAAACUGCCCAUGCAUCAUGUCAGAGACUGUGAAAGUGGGCCUCCUUCAACGUGUGGCUGAUGUGGAAGCAAGGGCUUUGGUACAGUGCAGACUGCUCCGGAAGGGUGGAGGGGUG
rnacentral:lncRNA from 1 species